CUUUCCAGCAGCAGUGCCGUGGAACAGUAUUCGACGCAUGUAUCGAUGAAAUAUAUCAAUGUUGUAAUGGUCUUUUGUACAGUAUUAAAUGGUUGGUUGUUCUCCUGACAGUCUAGGAAACGCUGAAGGCUACAGACUGAAAACUAUCCCUGAUGAUACUUCAUAAAGAAGAAUCUUCUGCGAUAUCAGGAGAAGAUUGCUCAAGUCAUAGCAGUGCUUAAAUCGUAUUUGCUGGGAAAAGGUCAAUAUUUUUAAAAAGCGCCAAAAGCAGUGCUUCUGAUGAGUGUGAUGUGGUAUUCAUUCAGUCACACCGCCUUCAACGAAAAACGUCCGCUUUCUAUUCACGCAGCUAAAAAAAACGUUCGACCAUUGAUUUUCAAAAAGGGAAAAGGAAGAAUGAAAGAAAAGAAAAAAAAUGUAUUAUCUUCAGAAAUCAGUUCUGAUAGCAGGUAUUGUGUAGUAAAAAGGUCCUAUGAUUAAACUUUCUGUCUUGUGA
rnacentral:lncRNA from 1 species